rnacentral:rRNA from 1 species
UGGGGAAUAUUGCACAAUGGGCGCAAGCCUGAUGCAGCCAUGCCGCGUGUAUGAAGAAGGCCUUCGGGUUGUAAAGUACUUUCAGCGGGGAGGAAGGGAGUAAAGUUAAUACCUUUGCUCAUUGACGUUACCCGCAGAAGAAGCACCGGCUAACUCCGUGCCAGCAGCCGCGGUAAUACGGAGGGUGCAAGCGUUAAUCGAAAUUACUGGGCGUAAAGCGCACGCAGGCGGUUUGUUAAGUCAGAUGUGAAAUCCCCGGGCUCAACCUGGGAACUGCAUCUGAUACUGGCAAGCUUGAGUCUCGUAGAGGGGGGUAGAAUUCCAGGUGUAGCGGUGAAAUGCGUAGAGAUCUGGAGGAAUACCGGUGGCGAAGGCGGCCCCCUGGACGAAGACUGACGCUCAGGUGCGAAAGCGUGGGGAGCAAACAGG